rnacentral:rRNA from 1 species
GAUGAACGCUGGCGGCGUGCCUAAUACAUGCAAGUCGAGCGAACGGACGAGGAGCUUGCUUUUCUGACGUUAGCGGCGGACGGGUGAGUAACACGUGGAUAACCUACCUAUAAGACUGGGAUAACUUCGGGAAACCGGAUCUAAUACCGGAUAAUAUUUUGAACCGCAUGGUUCAAUAGUGAAAGACGGUCUUUCUGUCACUUCUCGAUGGAUCCGCGCUGCAUUAGCUAGUUGGUAAGGUAACGGCUUACCAAGGCAACGAUGCAUAGCCGACCUGAGAGGGUGAUCGGCCACACUGGAACUGAGACACGGACCAGACUACUACGGGAGGCAGCAGUAGGGAAUCUGCCGCAAUGGGCGAAAGCCUGACGGAGCAACGCCGCGUGAGUGAUGAAGGUCUUCGGAUCGUAAAACUCUGUUAUUAGGGAAGAACAUAUGUGUAAGUAAAUGUGCACAUCUUGACGGUACCUAAUCAGAAAGCAACGGCUAACUACGUG